AGUUUUGAUCAUGUGAUCCAACAGUUGGCACAGACAAAAACUCGAUUGUUUCGAGUCGAGGGAAAAGUUUGGCUGUACUUCUUUCGUUGUCAAGUCACACUCAGUAUGGAUGAUAUAGAAAAUUUAAGAGAUACGCUGUUGAAGCAACGCAAAUGGGUACCGAAAUGAAGGCUGGGCCAAGAAUGGAAUGUCAUGACCAGCUUGCCUUAACCUAAGGGAACAUGAAAGGGAGCACAGUUGCUUUCAAUUGGAACCUGGGCUGAAAAGGGAAUUUCUUCUUGCCUGGACGUAGAUCGAGGAACACUAAAAAGAGCAGUCCAAUUUGGUACUUGUAUUGGGCGUUUGGCAAUGGUAAGACAAGGAGGAGUGAAGCGAAGUGCCUUGGUGUAAUUCUAAAAGGUAACUGGGAUAGAGCUCUUGCUACUUACGUCAGCUCUCUGUCUCUCUCUGUCCAUUUCCUCUCCUGUGAAAGGCUACACUAUUUUUGUGAACAGGUUAGUCUUCAUUACUUUAAGGCGAUUGACUGCAUGGCUAAAAUUCGCUAUGAAUACCCCUUAGCAGCUUGCUUUCGCCCAAGCGUUCGCGUAUAUGCACUUUAGAUUGUCAGCUCGGCUCACCUAACUAGAGCGUAAGUUGCACAAUGCAAGGAGAAGAAGCUUGCGGAAAGGUGCAGUGUUAAGUGGUAAAAUUUCUUCUCAAAGUGCAACUUACCGUCAAGCCUCUGUAUGCUGCCUAAAAUGCUGAAUGUGCGUUGAGGAAUUGACGCUGGAAUGAAUCACUCAGAGCAUGUGUGACACAAAUGUCAGUACAUACAUGUGAUGCAUAAAUGAACCCUUUACUUAUCUUUUAGGUAUUGGUGUUAUUUUGAAAUCUGUAUACCUCCUCCUUCAGAACCGUUUCUUUCUUUUUUGUGAUUCACGGAGCCUUUUGUCUCACUUUCCCCACUCUUUACUUCGACUUUUUACCACUCCCCUUGGCAGUCCUAUAUCUUUACUUAAGAACUGCAAGAAAUUCUUUUUUGUCACGUUUGCUUUACCAGUUUGAAGUAGUAAUUAUUACUCCCGGCAACCAGUGAUAUGUUGGCGUCCGGCUUCCAUGCUUUUAAAGCUCGUUUUUCUGCCAUUGUUUCCAGACUGUGAUUCCCGAUUUUUCCUUAAAGGGCGACGGAUCGUCGAAGGUGAAAGCGCGCAGAGAGAAGUUUCUACCAAGACUGCAACGGUCGCGUUUGAGGGUUCAACUCUUCCAUUGUAAUAAUGGCAUGAACCGUUCGAGCUAAGUUUUUAGUUCACCUUCCGUUUCCGUAAUGUGCAAAUCCUUGUAAAGAACGUGAGACGACAUUCUCAGCCAACUGGUUACAUUACCUUCCAUGUGGUAAACGAUUGCGGCGUUUACCUUUUCCUUCGUAUAUUAAAUAGAGACCAAUGGUUCAGUUGACGUGACCAACGGUAAUCCUUGGUCAUGUGAUGUUUGAUAAAUGUGUAUUUUUAGUAACGCUUUUGCAGUAAAUCACAGCCGAAAUUUAAUGAAUGGUCAGCUUUAUCCCUUACUGACGUAGCUUUUGUUUGGUACACGCCCUCCAUUGCAGCAAAGAGAAUAGAUGGCCCCUGGAUUGUCUCGAAUGAAACCGAAACUUUUCGAGCGUGGGUUUUUCCCUGACAGGGUAAUUGUGUUCUCUUGGCGCGUAGAGUAGAAAGAGAGAAACAAUGGAGAUCAAAUGUUUGUACAAAAUGGGAAGUAGACAUUUAAUUCGGAGAAAACCAUUUACAAACAAGGAAAAAAAGAAGAUAAAAGUAACCAGCUAAGAACGAACCUAGGGUAUCUGCAUGCUUAAUGAAGUAAUAAUCACCAGGCCACGUGUACCCGUGGUGUUUAUUUGGAUGUAACUUAGGGCGCGCAACACUUUGUCCUGUUGUCAUCUUUAAUGAGAUUGUUUUGUUAAAUAUCAUGUCCUUCGCUUGGAUUGUUUUCCUUCUUAUAAACAGCAUUGUUAGCUUCCCUCGAUUCAUUACUCGUCUGCAAAAAGAAAUACAAAAAAAUCUGACAAAUAUUUAUCGAAACUAAAACCUUUAACAGUUAAUUCUUGAAAAUGUUUUUCUAUUUGCUGCCGACGUUUUAUUAUGCCGGUGCGCCCGCAACAUCAACGUCAGCGUUGUCGCGAAAGGCAAGUCAUGCGUCGAGCUAUUCUCAAAAAGAUUGAGAGACUGAGAAUAAAGUGAACGGUCACUAAGUUGUAUUUACUUGCUUGCUUCGAAGCUAUUGUCACAUGAAGGUUUUUUUCGUUUGGGGAGGCAUUCAUAAGAAUCACGAACGUUUUUGUGGCGUUUCAAGGGGAAGGCAAAGAGCUUCGAUGAGCUUAUCGACUCUGUUGUUAGACCAAAUGUUUUCAGUUUUACUGUAGAAUUUCAAGCAGUCGACAGUAAUAUCCCCUUGAAAGAGGACAUAAGGUACCGAAGCACACUUGCAAUUCAUCUUUUUUCCUGUAGCAGAUUAGUGAAUCGUCCAUCUGUCGCACCAGGUCAUCUUAAACAAAUAUCGACUGGUAAGCUAACUGUUUCCAGUCAGUUUGUGUAAACAAAUCAAUAACUUUGUUGAAAUUGAACUUGUAUUUCAAGUUUUGUCGGUGAACAAAUAAAGUAAAUUGAUUUCUGUCACUUGGUUUGAUUAUACUGAAUUUUACGUGUAGUUGUCCAUAAGUAUACAUGAACACAAACCAUUAAAUUCAAGAAGAAAUCUUGGCGAUCAUUCGAUAGGAAACGAGCAAGAUAACGAAGAUUUCUAACAAAUCUCAUUUCAUCUCACUUGAAAACAAAACAAAUAUCUGGUGCUACAUUUAGUUGGCUUAACUGUACUGGGAAAUUAAAUCGCUGAAUUCUUCAAUUCCUUCAGGAUGUUUUCAGUUCCUCUACCCUUGUGCUCAGAUCAUAACUGAAUUUCUUCUUUUCUUUCUUUUUAUUAUUUUACCUCAUUAUUUAUACCGCACAAGGUACAUGUGUCUAUGUUUCAUCAACUGGAUGCGAUUUUCAGUUCUGGCCGAAGCCUAAGAGUAAUCUUCUAACGAAUGAUCCAAAGUAAGUCAGUAGCAUAGGAAGAAGCUCCUACUCAUCCUUUAAAAUCUGUAAGUUCAAUGUAUUCAUAUCUUACAUGUUGGAGAAUGAAGGAUCGUAUCUUUAGACCUUCCAGGUACAAAAGGUAUUUCAUUUCUCGGUCUCUGAAAGAGAGAUGAUUUUUGUUAGUUCUUUUCUUCGGCUCAGAUGUUAUCGUCUAUGCUUUUCCAUCAUCUUCUUGGUGUUAGAAAAUGUAGCCUGUAAAUUACUUUCCAUGACACAAGUGGCAUGGUUGUCUAACAGUUGAAUUCAGAAUAUUGUCAUAGACUAUUGUAUAACAUCCUUUAAUUCUGAAAAAAAUAUUCCUCAGAUAUGUCUUCCACUAUGUGAACCUCUUUGCAGUGGCCGCCACAUAUUUUCCUUGGCUGAAAUUUUCCAAAGCUUUCACUUUUAUGUUGUUGCUCUUAUUUCAGUAAAAACAUAUGCAGUGGUACCGAACUUUACAAGGCUAUAUUUCUAUUAUAAUUGCUGUCGUUUCGUUUUGUCUUUUGUACCUUAUCCUUUCGUCUUGCGACAUGCCAUGGUAUCUCUGUGGAGAAACACAUUGUGACACACUCUUAGAGAUCGUUAAUGUUCUUCUCGUGUUUCUCUUAAUCUCCGCACAUUUAUUAAAGCAGUACCAGCUUGAGAACCAUGACAGAGAAGCAGAUGAGUGAAAGAGCCUAUUAUUAUUGACUAAAUCUAAAAGCCUUCGUGGGGCAUCCUUAGUGAAGGAGUUGUCUCCUUUUAGAGAAAUUUCACCCAGAGAACUAUACUGAGGCCUGAAAGACAUUACAGUGUAAUGCGUGCUAGUAAUUAAUUUAGUAUGAAAGCCGCUUGAAUUUGUGAAGCUUACCUGUGUUGGUAAUGAUGUCAUAAUUUUCUGAAACAGAAGAUCGGUAGUAAUAAAAUGAUGGGUAUUUUAUAUUUUUUUAUACUCAGGUAUGCUCGUAAGGACGCUCGUAACUUCGCCCCCACAAUUGUCAGCGAUUGAAAUCUGUCUGAGUUCUCGUUUUUCUGACCACUUCGUUUUAGGUUAAGCUAUUUCUAGUAAAACACACUAGGCAUAUUAUAUAACUAUUACUUGUUUCUCCAUUUUCACUGGCUAAGGAUCCACCAGAUGUUCUGCAAUGAACUUCACAUAGAUGUGGCUGCUUGUGCAUUACAUUAUUUGUCUGUGUUUUUUCGCACGUAGAUGAAUUAUUUGCUUCAACAGUUGCUUCCGUCACGUAAAUCAGUUGAUCAACUUCGGGUUUUUUUUGCCCGUUUCCAACUGUAAGGUCGAAUACACACAGCUUUUAUAGACAUACAAUUAAUAGAAUUUUCGCACGCUGUGUUUACACUUAUCCUCAACCUGAAAUCUACAUGACUGGACGUCGAUUUGUCGAUUGCACUGCCUAGAUACACAUUGUAGACUGUCUUGAAGAAGCCUUUUUCGUUCGAGGCUAAAUUUUGAUUCUCCAAACUUCACUAUGAGUAGAGUCAAAGCCUGGACAUUUUAGUGACGAUUUAAGACGUCGCAAUUAUUACAACCGAUAAGAAGUAGGAAUAUCUCUUGCAAGGCUAAAAUAGCUCUCAGACCUUACUUAUGUUAAUUUCAUCUCUUAGCUUGCCACACCUUUGGAACAGAUUCUAGAUAAUCACAUCCUUGUAGUAUAAUCUAAGAACUUAGAACUCAACCAAGAUGAAUGGUGAUGUAUCCUCUUACCUUCGUCCUUUUACCUGAGGCCUUUGAUUCGUGAGGCGAUUUCAGUUUGGCGGCAAUCACGUUUGCUUUGUGCGUAACACCGAGUUCGAGACAAUCCCAAGAAUUGGGUUAAGGACUGGUCAGCAGUCUGCUGUUAAACGGCUCUUUGUUUUCUCGGCUCGUCUGUUUCAAUGGCUAACGACGUGCAAGCAAUCACAUUUGCUCUGUGCAUAACGACGAAUUCAUGCACGAAGUUUGCGUGACAACCCAGAAAACAUCCCAGAAAUCGGGAUUAAGGACUGGGUCAGCGGUUCGCUGGCUAAGGGCUCUUAUGUUUCUCUUGCUUUUGAUCGUAGGCAUCUCACACAUGUGGAGUUUCUAUUCUACUAUCGCUGUCGGUCUACCAGGAUAAGUCGCGUUUUGAUGCCUACGUUUGUAACAGUGAAGAUCACGACUGGUUCUUUUUUUUUUUCGUUACAAAGCGGGCGCUCUUUGACGUUUUAUGUGUGCUCCGAAAGGGCAGGGGUCUGCGUACAAGCAGUACGUCUGUUUCGAUCAUGCUACUUGAUUCUGUCCGGCGUAUGUCUCCUGGUUCCACCAAUGCGCCUGAAGUUGACGUGGGUGAGUGUGAAGAGGCUUCCUGUAUAUGUUAGUGAUGACGUGGCCUUCUAUUACAAAGCGAGUGCUGUAUAGUGUUUUGGGGGUGCUUCGAAACGGCGAGGGUCAGAGCACGAGCUAGCGCUUGUCUCGAUCAUGCACCUUGAUUUUGUCCUGCGUGGGUCUUCUGGUUCCACUGGUGUGCCUCUAGGUGGUGUGGGUGAGUGUGCAUAGGGUUCCUGUUUUUGUUAGUGGUGACGUAGCCUUCGGUUACAAAGCGAGUGGUGUUUGGUGUUUUGAGCGUGUUACGAAACAGCGGGGGUCUGGGUACAAGCUAGACGAUGUCUUUAUAGUGCUCCUUCAUUCCUUCCUGCGUAGGUCUUCUAGUCCCACUGAUGUGCUUGCAGAUGUUGUGGGACAGGAUUAGUGUGCACAGGCAGGUAAGUAGUGAUGUAACCGUCCGGCUCUCUUAAAACUCUGGUGCCAGGUAGACGCUUUUAUCGUCUUCAUGGUAAAGCGAAUGACAGGUUGUAGGUUUUUCAGACGGGGUGAAACGUCCUAAACGCUUCCGCGAUACAGAACGAUGAAGGUGCCCCCUUACCAGCAUGGUUACAGGAUAAUGUAUUGUCUGCUAGACCAAGCACCCCAUAAUUGAUCUAGAUUUAUAACUUUUUUCCCUCCUUCACUUAAUUCACUUCCUCUUAGUAUCGCCUUUUUUUAAAUCGUAGGACAAAAGGAACGUUACAUGAAUGCAAGGACCAGCCCUAAAAUCACGGACUCUACUUAAGGAGAAUUCUUGACUUGGCAAUCUACCGACGCUAAAGGAGACGUCUACAAUGCAUUGCAGUACUCACGUAAAGGGUCAAGAAUGGUGUUGUAUUGGUCUGAGCCUUUCCACCCUUUGCGUCCCUUAAGAUUCUACACACCCGCUUCGAAACAUUGAGUUUGUAAUAUUUUCUAUAGCAAACACGCUAUUGGAUGCAGAGCGGGGACCAUUUCUAGGGUCAAAAUUAAGUAAAGAUGAAAGAGAUUCGCCUUCUCUAGCUAGCUUUGAAACCAAAGUCAACUAGCUAAAUCCUGUGGACUGUUUUACUGAUAGUUUUAAUUGCUCUGAAUAUAUUAUGCUGAAGGUAUCCAGUUCGCAUUGUUUUCAGUUUUAUGUGUGUCGUUGGCUGUUGUAAUUUAGUCGGGUGUUAAUAUCAUUGUACGUUCAUUCAUUAGAAUUUUGGUUCCAACGUCCCUAAUUAAAAGCUUAUCCUUGAUUGGAAUUAAAAACAGUUUUGUAGACUAGACUGUAGAUGUUUGGUAGUUAAACGUCUGCUAUGAGCUGAAAAACUGUAUUGAUUUUUUUUUGGGUGUGUGGGGGGGGGGGGGGCUUUCACUGACCAUAAUGUGGAAAUUGCACGGUGUGAAACUAUUUUCGAGGCAAUUGAAACAUGAACGAUUUCAGCUCUUAAGAUAGUCAUUUUCUCACUGCACUUGAAGUAAUAAGUUAAACCUUGACUUUUCUCUGUUCUGAUGUAAAGCAAACAGGAAGCAGUGAAGGCGCGAAAAUCAAGUCGGGAUAGACUCGUUACGUUCGCCGUUGAAUAGUUACCUUACAAUAAACUGAGCACAGUCCAUGUUUAUUUAGUUCUUGUUGGUGUUUUUUUUUUAUCAAGAAUCUAUUUGAGUCAUUUGCUGUUAGUGUCCAAAACACAUUCAAGCGCUGUCAUCUUCCUUUGUACUCUACUAGAGAGAACAUAUGCUAAUUUCUAGCGCGCUGAUUUCAACCAAUCAUAUACUUUGGUUAAUUGCCUCGACGUACUUCAUUGGUUAAUUGCUGAGCUUAGUUUGCAAAAAACAUACAUUAGAUAAAUAAAUGGCAGUAAGGGUUUCGCUUGGGCGCCAAAUACUUUUAUAGAAUUUAAGAGGCGAUUACUUGAGUUUGCCGUUCUUUGAGGAACCUACAGUCAGGAAAUAAUCGCAGUGGAACAUUUUGUAUUUUGUAUAUCCUCUCAGAUUACGAGGGUGGACCAUAUAGGUAAACAACGGCUUUUAUUGCACAUUUGAGGAUUUUAAACUUGAAAGGAGCCAGUCCUUCAAAAAUAUUUUACGUACAAAGCAUAAAUAUAUUUUAACGAGGAAAACCCUAAUAGAAACCCAUCAUAGAAAACUCCAUGAUAAACCAUUACUCAUAUAACUUCGGUUUCAAUCCCUCCCGCUCUCUUGGCAGCCUGUGAAAUAAAAGUAAAGAAAUCACACACUAAGACAUUACAGCUUUAAUUAGUCGUGUAAAAUAGAACCUGUACCAGGCUAGCAAGUAUUGAACACUUGCUGUGAUAAUAUUUUCAUUCGUUUUGAAAAUGAUCGUUUCAAACCCACUUUUAUUUAAUGGGGAAAAGUCAAUAAAUGAAGACAGCGAGAAGAACUUAAACCAAAA